rnacentral:rRNA from 1 species
UACGGGGGGGGCAAGCGUUGUUCGGAAUUACUGGGCGUAAAGGGCUCGUAGGUGGCCAACUAAGUCAGACGUGAAAUCCCUCGGCUUAACCGGGGAACUGCGUCUGAUACUGGAUGGCUGGAGAUUGGGAGAGGGAUGCGGAAUUCCAGGUGUAGCGGUGAAAUGCGUAGAUAUCUGGAGGAACACCGGUGGCGAAGGCGGCAUCCUGGACCGAUACUGACACUGAGGAGCGAAAGCCAGGGGAGCAAACGGG